GAUGAACGCUGGCGGCGUGCCUAAUACAUGCAAGUCGAGCGAACGGACGAGAAGCUUGCUUCUCUGAUGUUAGCGGCGGACGGGUGAGUAACACGUGGAUAACCUACCUAUAAGACUGGAUAACUUCGGGAAACCGGAGCUAAUACCGGAUGAUAUUUUGAACCGCAUGGUUCAAAAGUGAAAGACGGUCUUGCUGUCACUUAUAGAUGGAUCCGCGCUGCAUUAGCUAGUUGGUAAGGUAACGGCUUACCAAGGCAACGAUGCAUAGCCGACCUGAGAGGGUGAUCGGCCACACUGGAACUGAGACACGGUCCAGACUCCUACGGGAGGCAGCAGUAGGGAAUCUUCCGCAAUGGGCGAAAGCCUGACGGAGCAACGCCGCGUGAGUGAUGAAGGUCUUCGGAUCGUAAAACUCUGUUAUUAGGGAAGAACAUAUGUGUAAGUAACUGUGCACAUCUUGACGGUACCUAAUCAGAAAGCCACGGCUAACUACGUG
rnacentral:rRNA from 1 species